rfam:Ornithorhynchus anatinus chromosome 1, whole genome shotgun sequence.
CCCCUUCUGGGAUCAUACCUGGAGAGUUUCCAGUACUCUACCAGUCUUGGUUAUGGGAGGGAAAGUCAAGGAGAGGCCUGUCCAUUCCAUUCCUAGCUUGGGCAGUGGCUAGCGAGUGGAAGGCAAUCUGCUGCAACU